CCACGAGUAGUUUAAUUUAGAAUCCUA
rnacentral:tRNA from 1 species